AGCGAACGUUAGCGGCGCGCCUAACACAUGCGAGUCGCACGAGAAAGGGCUUCGGCCCCGGUACAGUGGCGCACGGGUGAGUAACACGUGGGUAACCUUCCCCAGAGUGGUGGAUAACCUGCCGAAAGGCGGGCUAAUACAGCAUACGACCGGUUGUCUUCGGGCGAUUGGUGAAAGCAGGCCUCUGUAUACAAGCUUGCGCUCUAGGAUGGGCCCGCGUCCCAUCAGCUAGUUGGUGAGGUAACGGCUCACCAAGGCUACGACGGGUAGCUGGUCUGGGAGGAGGGCCAGCCACACUGGAACUGAGACACGGUCCAGACUCCUACGUGAGGCAGCAGUGGGGAAUCUUGCGCAAUGGACGAAAGUCUGACGCAGCGACGCCGUGUGGGCGACGAAGGCCUCCGGGUUGUAAAGCCCUGUGGGGCGGGACGAACACACUCUAUUCGAACAGGGUAGGGUGCUGACGGUACCGCCUUAGCAAGCACCGGCUAACUCUGUGCCAGCCGCCGCGGUAAAAC
rnacentral:rRNA from 1 species